rnacentral:rRNA from 1 species
UACGAAGGGGGCUAGCGUUGCUCGGAAUCACUGGGCGUAAAGGGUGCGUAGGCGGGUCUUUAAGUCAGGGGGGAAAUCCUGGAGCUCAACUCCAGAACUGCCUUUGAUACUGAAGAUCUUGAGUGCGGGAGAGGUGAGUGGAACUGCGAGUGUAGAGGUGAAAUUCGUAGAUAUUCGCAAGAACACCAGUGGCGAAGGCGGCUCACUGGCCCGAUACUGACGCUGAGGCACGAAAGCGUGGGGAGCAAACGGG